rnacentral:rRNA from 1 species
UACGGAAGUGGCAAGCGUUAUCCGGAAUUAUUGGGCGUAAAGCGUCCGCAGGCGGUCUUGUAAGACUGUUGUUAAAGCGUGGAGCUUAACUCCAUUUCAGCAAUGGAAACUGUAAGACUAGAGUGUGGUAGAGGCAGAGGGAAUUCCCGGUGUAGCGGUGAAAUGCGUAGAUAUCGGGAAGAACACCAAUGGCGAAGGCGCUCUGCUGGGCCAUAACUGACGCUCAUGGACGAAAGCCAGGGGAGCGAAAGGGAUUAGAUACCCCUGUAGUCCUGGCCGUAAACGAUGAACACUAGGUGUCGGGGGAAUCGACCCCCUCGGCGUCGUAGCCAACGCGUUAAGUGUUCCGCCUGGGGAGUACGCACGCAAGUGAGAAACUCAACGGAAUUGACGGGGGCCCGCACAAGCGGCGGAGUAUGUGGUGUAAUUCGAUGCAACGCGAAGAACCUUACCAGGCUUUGACGUCCUGCGAAUCUCUUGGAAACGAGAGAGUGCCUUCGGGAACGCAGUGACAGGUGGUGCAUGGCUGUCGUCAGCUCGUGUCGUGAGAUGUUGGGUUAAGUCCCGCAACGAGCGCAACCCACGUCGUUAGUUGCCAGCAUUUAGUUGGGCACUCUAGCGAGACCGCCGGUGAUAAACCGGAGGAAGGUGUGGAUGACGUCAAGUCAUCAUGCCCCUUACAUCCUGGGCUACACACGUCCUACAAUGCUCCGGACAAAGGGCAGCCAACUCGCGAGAGCUAGCCAAUCCCAUAAACCGUGGCUCAGUUCAGAUCGUAGUCUGCAACUCGCCUACGUGAAGGAGGAAUCGCUAGUAAUCGCAGGUCAGCAUACCGCGGUGAAUACGUUCCCGGGCCU